rnacentral:tmRNA from 1 species
GGGGGCGAUUUGGGUUCGACGGGAGGAAUGAGACUAAGGUUGCAUGCACGGGAUGCCGUUGGCCCGUAAAAAAACGGCACUCACAUAAUCGCCAACGAUUAUGAAGUUGCUGUAGCUGCUUAAUAAAAUAAGCUAGUUACCGUCCGCUUUUCCCCCGCCCACAGGGAAAAGGCCGGGCGUCAUUAAAGUGGGCUGGCCAGGCUUUCAUGUCUCGGGGAAACUGGCGAGAACUCACGAGACUGGCCCGGAAGACACCCUGCCCUUGGGGGGACGACCGGGUGAGAUCCAAAACAAGGGACAAGCAUGUAGACGCCUUAAGUUAAAACCUUUCGGACGGGGGUUCAAUUCCCCCCGCCUCCACCA